CUCCCGGUGGCCAAGCUGGUUUAAGGCGCGAGACUGUAAUGUAAUCUUGAGAUCGGGCGUUCGACUCGCCCCCGGGAGA